GGGAUUUAGAGCAAAUCUCUUGGAGUCCCUUAGAGUAUAAAAUAUUUGGAGUGUUUUGAGAGUGUCAGGUAGAAAAAUAUUUUAUAACUGUGGUUGUAACAAUUUGCCGCAUAGUGAAUAUUUUUUUUGAUUGUCGUUUGGCAACGGCCGCGGUUUUCCUCCACUUGGAGAGUUUUCCACAUUAAAUUAUCAUAUUCUUUAUUCUCUUUAAUUUCUCAAUCAUUAUUUUUUUUUUUCAUUUGUUCCUGCUUAAAGCCGAUCCGAAAGGCGGGAAAAUAGCGAUUUUCCCAACAAAGUCAGCUUCAUGCUUUAGUCGGUCGUGGAUCUGCAGCUAAGUUACCUGGCUUCCAACCUGAGAGAAAUAGAUUAUGGCUUCUCGCUAUCCUCCAGAAGCUUCGAAGUUGGCGCAUCAUUACCCUCAGUCAACAGAUCUGAAUGCUAAAGGAAGAAGUCGAGAAUUCCGACCAUAAUUUGAAUGAUGGAUGAGUGUUUUUCUUAUUGCUAUUAGUUUUAUACAUUCAAAUUUAUAUUUGCUUAAUAGCCUCGA
rnacentral:lncRNA from 1 species